rnacentral:lncRNA from 1 species
GCGACGGGCGGCCUAAGCUGGGACUGUGCGUCCUCUGCGGCUUGCCGGCGGCCGGAAAGUCGACUUUUGCUCGUGCUCUGGCUCUGCGGUUGCAGCGGGAGCGGGGUUGGGCCGUAGCCGUCCUCUCCUAUGACGAUGUGCUGCCUCUUGCGCUCCCGGACGGCGCGGGCACACAGCCUCGGGUCAGCAUCGGGUUGGGGCGGACGUGUUUGUAGGCUCUGCAAAGGCGGUGGGGUUGUGGGUGGUUGAUGGCCGGCCAUUCUGGAUCCUGGCCAAGCAGUGCCUGUGUGGGAGGGGGAGCCUGACAGAAGCCGGAAGCCAGGAGAAUUGGUUAGCUUCUCUCUGUAGACCUGUGUUUCGGAAUAAUAUGGUGUUGAGGUCAGGGCCAUUGCUUUGUAGAGGUGUUUAUGCCAAGUUUGUUACGUUCACAUAUUACAUACUUUAUGCAGUGGAGC